CUUUCUUUCUUUCUUUCUUUCUUUCUUUCUUUCUUUCUUUCUUUCUUUCUUAAAAUUAUUUUUUAGUCCUUUGGGUGGGUAACUGCAAGUAUAACACCUCCAUAUAAUUUUAAUUGUGUUCCUGAUUUGAUAAUUUAAUUCCUGAUUUUUUUCUUUUCUUGUUAUACAGUGUCUUUUUGGCCAAUGUUCUAAUGCCAACAGAAAUAAAGUUGGAGAGAGGGAACAACAUUGUCUUGAACCCUUCAUUACACUACAUGUUUGUGACAGAAGUCCAUUUACAAUGUUUAUAGCUGUAGUAUUCUCUCAGCUUAUCCUAUCUGGAUCAGUUUCGUGGUAUUGGCUCCAGUGAUUGUGUUUGGAUGCACCCAAUGCAAUAAGAAACAUAAAGCAAUACGAAAGAGAAACAAUGAUGUGGAGAAAGGGUUAAGCGAAGGACCUUUACUGGGAGAAAAUCAGCAACCAAAAGAAGAAAAUGUUUCAGAAAAGCUGAAAGAAGAAAAUGAUAUCAGGCAUUUUCCACUGAAAAAUACAUUCUGCUUCCAUUUCAGAGCAACUACAAGAAGAAAAUGGUAAGUCUACAAAAGCUGUUCUAUCAAGCACUAUAAAUAUUUUAAAGGACCUCAGGUUCUCCAUUCCAUAUGGACAUUUUUUUUUUUAAGGGCCAGUUUCAGGCAGCUCUUCCGGCAUUUGAGGAGCAAUUGGGGGACUUUGAGAUCUGGUUUGACAUAGGCACAAAGGCCACCUCGGUGGUACUGGGCCAUUGGUCAUCUCUCAGCCCUGGCUUCUUUCCCACUUUGUCGUAUUAAAAGAGGUCCCAGUUGUAAUGAAAGUGAGGGCUUGGAACACUGAUAGGUGUUCAUUUAUCAAGUGCCAUGCCACCUGAGGACGGAAUUGGCAGGAACACAAAUGCUAGUUUAUUUCCAAAGCAGAUUUUCUGUCUUGGAAUUUCUCCUCAGUCCUGUAUGUGUGGGGACUGGUGAUAUCUUCAUUCAUUCCUUCACUAGUAUCUCUCCCAGCGGGAGAGCAGAUCCAGCUGCACAUUGAGUUGAGUCUGGUCACAUGACAGUAUGAUUGGGGGUUUGGCUUCAUGCUCAGAUCCUCCUUUCCCUAUCUUUACCUUUCUUUCAAAUGAAAAGCAACCCUUUUUGUGGUUUACCGUUGCAAAGACGUGUGAUGAAUGGAGGAGACAUGUGAUUUGACCACCUCAUGUUCUCUCUAGUCUGCCAUGAAGGCUGCUGUCAGGACUGAGUUAUUGGUUCCAAAGGGAUAAAGAGAGAGGAUCUUGGCAGUGACCAGUAGGAGAAGUUCUCAAAUGCCAGCAACUUUUUUUUUUUUUUACUUGUAAAUAGAAAUGGAGGUUUUCUUUCCAGCAUGAAACCAAACGAACAGGACAAGGCAGCUUCUCUGCUGAGCAAAUGAACUACAGUUGACUGAGACCGUUCUUUGUUCUCUGCUCACCUGUUGGUCAGAAGGAACAUGUACAGAUUGACGCUUAGUUCACUAAGAGCACUGGACUUCCAAACAUAAACAAACCCAUGAGUGUCAAGUCCAGGUAUCCUGAGACUUCUAGUACCCAAAAGAAUAGAACAGCCAACCCCUACGCCAUUUGACCUGUAAAAUGAGAUCUUUGGCACAAUGGGAAGGUUGUUUGUCUGGAAAUGCCCCAAUUUGUGUUUUCUAAGCCUCGCCUCUAUUUUCAAACGUUAAUUUAUUCUUGUCUCCAGCAAAACCUUCUGCUUCAAUUUCAGGACAAUUAAAAAAAGAAAAUAUUAAGUGUUACAUAACUUUUUUAAUCUAGUACUGUAAAUAGUAUAAAGGAACUCCAGUUAUGCAUUCCCUGUGCAUUUGUUUCCUUUCUUCUUCUUCUUCUUUUUUUUAAAGAGCCAGUUUGAAGUAGCUCUUAUAGCAUUUGAUGAACAAUUCUGGAAUUUUCAGUUCUGGUUUGAGAGAGGCACCAAAGCCACCUCGGUGAUACUGGGCAAUUGUUCAUCUCUCAGCCCUAGCUGACUUCCUUCUUUCCCACUUUGUCGUAUUAAAAGAGGUCAGUUGUAAUGAAAGUGAGGGCUUGGAACACUGAUGGGUGUUCAUUUGUGAAGUGCCAUGCUACCUGAGGAUGGAAGUGGCAGGAACAAUUAUGCUGGGUAAUUUCCUUUAUGAUUUUCUGUUUUGAAUUUCUCCUCAGUCCUGUAUGUGUGUGGACUGGUGAUAUCUUCAUUCAUUCCCUCACUACUAUCACUCUGGGCAGGAGAAGAGAUCCAGCUGCACAUUGAGUUGAGUCUUCCCGCUAUUCACAUGACAGUAUGAUUGGGGGUUUGGCUUCAUGCUCGCUUCUUCCUUUCCAUAUCUUCACCUUUCUUUCAAACAAAAAGCUACCUUUGGAGGAUUGACUGCUGAAGUUGCAUUGAAUUGUUCUACAGUUUACUGUUGCAAAGACGUGUGACCAAAGGAGAAGACAUCUGAUUUGACCACCUCAUGUUCUGCUUACUCUGCCAUGAUGGCUGCUCUCAGCCCUGGCUCCAAAUGCAUAAAGAGAGAGGAUCUUGGCAGUCACCAGUAGGAGAAGUUCUCAAAUGCCAGCAACUUUUUUUUUUUUA